rnacentral:lncRNA from 1 species
UCAUAUUAAAUAAAAUAACCGACAAAAUAUGUUCCCUCGUGGAUUUUUCUGUGUGCAUCUUCGCUGGAAGAAUAUUUUCAACGUGUGUAAAAAAGAGAGAUUAUUCUUCUUCGACGUAUGCCUACUUUCACGCACGAGAAGAUCGUGAAAACAUCUAGGGAAAAGAAAAAAAGAAAAGAAAAAGAGAUAUAUAUCCAUCGUCUACGGAAGAAACAACUACGAAAAUUUUCUAUCAACAUGGAAGAUCAACGAUUUUCUUCUAGAAAAAAAAGUUAUAAAAAAAAAGAAAACGCAUUGAAAAUUGCGUACAACACUUUUUUCUACCAAUUUUAAUUUAUUUAAUUGUUUCAUUACUUCUCUUUCCAUCUUCCUUUCUCUCUUUUGUUUUGUUUUAUUUGUUAAACAGGUGGUUUGUUAACGUCACGUCUUAUCUGUCAACGAUGUGGGAGAGGUUAACACGAUGCUUUGUAAUUUUCGCUGUCAUAUGAAGUGGGGGAAUGCGGUGGAAAACAACAAUUUCCUUGUUUUUACUGCAAGUACAAUUUCACGCAAAAGUUAAGCCUGCAACUUCACCUAUCUACCAUUCAUAAACUCGAUUUUUGAUUUGAAACAACCCCAAUGAUGCUGCACAACUUCUUUUUUAUUUCAUUUAUUUUUUCUUUUUUUUACGUUCUAUUUAAUUGACCGAUAAGAAAUAUUCGUUAAAUGUUUUCUUGUUUCUUUUCAGAUUAUAAUUUGUUCAAAAAAAAAAAAA